rnacentral:rRNA from 1 species
UACGUAGGGGGCAAGCGUUGUCCGGAUUUAUUGGGCGUAAAGAGCGUGUAGGCGGCCAUUCAGGUCAGCUGUGAAAACUCGAGGCUCAACCUCGAGACGUCGGUUGAAACCGUUUGGCUAGAGUCCGGAAGAGGGGAGUGGAAUUCCCGGUGUAGCGGUGAAAUGCGCAGAUAUCGGGAAGAACACCCGUGGCGAAGGCGGCUCUCUGGGACGGUACUGACGCUGAGACGCGAAAGCGUGGGGAGCGAACAGG